rnacentral:misc_RNA from 1 species
CUUGUUGGAUCCUCCGAGUUAUUAAAUAGCCCUCCAGAAUUAUUUAGGAGUAUUAAAUGUAGAUUAUCGAUAAAACCGAUUCCAUAACCUCUAGGCUAUUCUGUGAGACGAAUUUAAUGAUGUAUAUUAAUCUAUGAUUAAUAUACCUUAUUAGAUUUGUCUCGCAAAAUAGCCUAGAGAUUAUAGAAUGAGUUUUGUCAGUAAUCUACGUUUAAUACUCCUAAAUAGUAAGAUUCCGAAGGGCUAUUUAAUAGCCCUCCGGAUCCAAACAGGGCCUUUA